rnacentral:rRNA from 1 species
GCCAGACUCCUACGGGAGGCAGCAGUGGGGAAUAUUGCACAAUGGGGGAAACCCUGAUGCAGCGACGCCGCGUGAGUGAAGAAGUAUUUCGGUACGUAAAGCUCUCUCAGCAGGGAAGAAAAAAAGUCCUUUGGACUUUGGACGGUACCUGACUAAGAAGCCCCGGCUAACUACGUGCCAGCAGCCGCGGUAAUACGUAGGGGGCAAGCGUUAUCCGGAUUUACUGGGUGUAAAGGGGGCGCAGACGGCCAUGGCAAGCCCGGUGUGAAAGGCAGGGGCAUAACCCCUGGACUGCACUGGGAACUGUCAGGCUGGAGUGCCGGAGGGGUAAGCGGAAUUCCUGGUGUAGCGGUGAAAUGCGUAGAUAUUAGGAGGAACACCAGUGGCGAAGGCGGCCUGCUGGACGAUGACUGACGUUGAGGCUCGAAAGCGUGGGGAGCAAACAGGAUUAGAUACCCCCGUAAG